rnacentral:rRNA from 1 species
UACAGAGGUCCCAAGCGUUGUUCGGAUUCACUGGGCGUAAAGGGUGCGUAGGUGGCCAGGUAAGUUUGGUGUGAAAGCUCGGAGCUUAACUCCGAAAAGUCAUUGAAUACUAUCUGGCUGGAGGGUCGGAGGGGAGACUGGAAUUCUCGGUGUAGCGGUGAAAUGCGUAGAUAUCGAGAGGAACACCUGCGGCGAAGGCGGGUAGCUGGGCCGACACUGACGCUGAUGCGCGAAAGCCAGGGGAGCGAACGGG